CGGUCGCAGCGGCGACCGCAAGAAGAUGGACAGCAAGAGGGUGUUCUUUGGCAUCAACUUACCGCUUGCUGCCGUUUUCGGGGAGUGGUAAGGCGAACGGAGGGCGGAGGUGUGACAUCAAAGCCGGCCCCAUCAUCGCUGGAUCCGUCGCACAGGCUAAAAUACCCAGGACAGAGGCAACAUGAUAGAGCAAGUGGAAGGGAAGUCCCGGCAUUUGUCUAAUUUACCACGUAACAGUCAAUCUACCGGCAACGUUUCAUGUUCAGUCAUAAAAUGUAUUUCAAACGCUUGCGUGGAGCAUUAAGUAGUGGGAUGUCCUUUGCAAUACGUAUCUUAGGCUCUCAUUAUUCAUACCUUCGUAGCCAAAUGAUGCCAUCUUUUGCUUAUGCCUAACGCCUUGAGGAGCUUGGUUGGAUCUAGAAUUUUGCAAAGUGUGUGAACGAAAC